UAGGAUAGUGGACGUUACUCGCAGAAUAAGCACCGGCUAACUCUGUGCCAGCAGCCGCGGUAAUACAGAGGGUGCGAGCGUUAAUCGGAUUUACUGGGCGUAAAGCGUGCGUAGGCGGCUUCUUAAGUCGGAUGUGAAAUCCCUGAGCUUAACUUAGGAAUUGCAUUCGAUACUGGGAAGCUAGAGUAUGGGAGAGGAUGGUAGAAUUCCAGGUGUAGCGGUGAAAUGCGUAGAGAUCUGGAGGAAUACCGAUGGCGAAGGCAGCCAUCUGGCCUAAUACUGACGCUGAGGUACGAAAGCAUGGGGAGCAAACAGGAUUAGAUACCCUGGUAGUCCAUGCCGUAAACGAUGUCUACUAGCCGUUGGGGCCUUUGAGGCUUUAGUGGCGCAGCUAACGCGAUAAGUAGACCGCCUGGGGAGUACGGUCGCAAGACUAAAACUCAAAUGAAUUGACGGGGGCCCGCACAAGCGGUGGAGCAUGUGGUUUAAUUCGAUGCAACGCGAAGAACCUUACCUGGUCUUGACAUAGUAAGAACUUUCCAGAGAUGGAUUGGUGCCUUCGGGAACUUACAUACAGGUGCUGCAUGGCUGUCGUCAGCUCGUGUC
rnacentral:rRNA from 1 species